AUGUCGAAUAUCCUGUUUACUAAGAAAUUCUUAGCUAAGCUCAUGACCAUCAUUAGAAUUUUCUGGUGGGUUGGAGUAAGGGAGGAGGCAGGUGCUCGUGCUUUAUGCCUACGGGCCUGGAAAUAUAUUUGUACUCCUAAGAAAGAAGGAGGGCGGAUUAGGAGUAUGUUGGCAAUGAACAAGGGUCCACUCCUUGCUGCUACUUGGAGGUUGGCUGAGAAUCUAGAGGAUAACAUUUAUAAAAUUCUCAAGGCCAAAUAUUUCCCAGAUUCUUCCAUUUGGAGAGCCUCUCCCAAUACUCCUAAGUCUGCCUUUUGGGCUUCCAUUCUAAAAGUCAUGCCUUUGCUCAAAUCUCACUCCUUCUAUCAAAUUACCCAAGGCAACAUAUCCAUUUGGACCUCUCCUUGGUGUAGUGUUUGGGAAAGAAUAUAUGAUCAUCUUAUUAUUCAGAAUAGUGACUUUGUGUAUCCAGCUAAGGUCUUAGACCUUUGGAACUCUGGCCACAAGUCUUGGAAUGGGCAACUCAUUUCUAACCUUUUUUCAGGAGCCUGCUGCUACUGCUAUUAUUUCUACUCCUGUUGUUUUUUAAAGCUGCAGGGACAUCGUUUGUUGGGACCUUACACCAUCAGGUAA
rnacentral:rRNA from 1 species